CCUGGCUCAGAACGAACGCUGGCGGCGUGGAUAAGACAUGCAAGUCGAACGGGACCAAGUCUGUAGUAAUACAAACUUGGUUCAGUGGCGCACGGGUGCGUAACACGUGAGCAAUCUGCCGGGAAGUGGGGGAUAGCUUGCCGAAAGGCGAAUUAAUACCGCAUGUGGCCAUUCUUCGAGUGGAGGAAAAGCCAAAGCAGCAAUGCGCUUCCUGAUGAGCUCGCGGCCUAUCAGCUCGAUGGCGGGGUAAUGGCCCACCAUGGCUUUGACGGGUAGCUGGUCUGAGAGGACGACCAGCCACACUGGAACUGAGACACGGUCCAGACACCUACGGGUGGCAGCAGUCGAGAAUUUUUCACAAUGGGGGAAACCCUGAUGGAGCGACGCCGCGUGGAGGAUGAAGGCCUUCGGGUUGUAAACUCCUGUCAUGCGGGAACAAGCAAGUGAUAGUACCGCAAGAGGAAGAGACGGCUAACUCUGUGCCAGCAGCCGCGGUAAUACAGAGGUCUCAAGCGUUGUUCGGAUUCAUUGGGCGUAAAGGGUGCGUAGGUGGUGAUGCAAGUCUGGUGUGAAAUCUCGGAGCUCAACUCCGAAAUUGCACCGGAUACUGCGUGACUCGAGGACUGUAGAGGAGAUCGGAAUUCACGGUGUAGCAGUGAAAUG
rnacentral:rRNA from 1 species